GGAGAGAUGGCCGAGUCGGCUGAAGGCGCACGCCUGCUAAGCGUGUAUGCGUCAAAAGCGCAUCGAGGGUUCGAAUCCCUCUCUCUCCGCCA
rnacentral:tRNA from 2 species